CCUACGUAAGGCAGCAGUAAGGAAUAUUGGUCAAUGGACGCAAGUCUGAACCAGCCAUGCCGCGUGCAGGAUGAAGGCCCUCUGGGUUGUAAACUGCUUUUAUAGGGGACGAAAAAGGGACUUUCUAGUUCAACUGACGGUACCCUAGGAAUAAGCACCGGCUAACUCCGUGCCAGCAGCCGCGGUAAUACGGAGGGUGCAAGCGUUAUCCGGAUUUACUGGGUUUAAAGGGUGCGUAGGUGGGUCGGUAAGUCAGCGGUGAAAUCUUCAAGCUUAACUUGGAAACUGCCAUUGAUACUAUCGAUCUUGAAUCAUCUGGAGGUAAGCGGAAUAUGUCAUGUAGCGGUGAAAUGCUUAGAUAUGACAUAGAACACCAAUUGCGAAGGCAGCUUACUACGGAUGUAUUGACACUGAGGCACGAAAGCGUGGGGAUCAAACAGGAUUAGAUACCCUGGUAGUCCACGCCCUAAACGAUGGAUACUCGACAUACGUGAUAUACUAUGUGUGUCUGAGCGAAAGCAUUAAGUAUCCCACCUGGAAGUACGAUCGCAAGAUUGAAACUCAAAUGAAAUUGACGG
rnacentral:rRNA from 1 species